UACGUAGGGGGCAAGCGUUGUCCGGAAUUAUUGGGCGUAAAGCGCGCGCAGGCGGUCCUUUAAGUCUGAUGUGAAAGCCCACGGCUCAACCGUGGAGGGUCAUUGGAAACUGGAGGACUUGAGUGCAGAAGAGGAAAGCGGAAUUCCACGUGUAGCGGUGAAAUGCGUAGAGAUGUGGAGGAACACCAGUGGCGAAGGCGGCUUUCUGGGCUGUAACUGACGCUGAGGCGCGAAAGCGUGGGGAGCAAACAGG
rnacentral:rRNA from 1 species